rnacentral:rRNA from 1 species
AUUCCGGAGAGGGAGCCUGAGAAACAGCUACUACUUCUACGGAAGGCAGCAGGCGCGCAAAUUGUCCAAUUCCCAUACAUUGGGGAGACAGUGAAAAGAAAUAUCAAUGCAGGGCAUAUGCUUUGCAAUUGGAAUGAGUUUAACCCAAAUGCCUUUACGAGAAUCAAUUGGAGGGCAAGUCUGGUGCCAGCAGCCGCGGUAAUUCCAGCUCCAAUAGCGUAUAUUAAAGUUGUUGCAGUUAAAACGCUCGUAGUUGAAACUUUGGUUGUAACAAUGGGUUUGCUUUCUAAGUAAUACCUAUUGUUGUUACCAUUAUUCCGGUUAUGCAGGGAUGAGAAUCCUUGUAUAUUUGGAAGUGUUACUUUGAGAAAAUUAGAGUGUUUCAAGCAGGCGUGAUGCUU